rnacentral:rRNA from 1 species
GAGGAAUAUUGGACAAUGGGGGAAACCCUGAUCCAGCGAUGCCGCGUGAGUGAAGAAGGCCUUCGGGUUGUAAAGCUCUUUCAAUCGGGAAGAUUAUGACGGUACCGAUAGAAGAAGCACCGGCUAACUCCGUGCCAGCAGCCGCGGUAAUACGGAGGGUGCUAGCGUUGUUCGGAAUUACUGGGCGUAAAGAGUACGUAGGCGGUUUAUUAAGUCAGGCGUGAAAGCCCCAAGCUCAACUUGGGAACAGCGUCUGAUACUGGUAGACUAGAGGUCUGGAGAGGAAAGUGGAAUUCCUAGUGUAGAGGUGAAAUUCGUAGAUAUUAGGAGGAACAUCAGAGGCGAAGGCGGCUUUCUGGACAGAUACUGACGCUGAGGUACGAAAGCGUGGGGAGCAAAC